rnacentral:tRNA from 1 species
AUUACUUUGACAGAUUAAGUGUGAUAAAAUUAGAAUUUAUUUAUGUAAAAAAUUAAUUUUUACAAGUAAUA